rnacentral:rRNA from 1 species
UACAGAGGUCUCAAGCGUUGUUCGGAUUCAUUGGGCGUAAAGGGUGCGUAGGUGGCGCGCUAAGUCAGGUGUGAAAUUUCGGAGCUUAACUCCGAGACUGCAUUUGAUACUGGCGUGCUUGAGGACUGGAGAGGAGACUGGAAUUUACGGUGUAGCAGUGAAAUGCGUAGAGAUCGUAAGGAAGACCAGUGGCGAAGGCGGGUCUCUGGACAGUUCCUGACACUGAGGCACGAAGGCCAGGGGAGCAAACGGG